rnacentral:rRNA from 1 species
AUUGAACGCUGGCGGCAGGCUUAACACAUGCAAGUCGAGCGAGCGGCGGACGGGUGAGUAAUGUCUGGGAAACUGCCUGAUGGAGGGGGAUAACUACUGGAAACGGUAGCUAAUACCGCAUACCAUCAGAUGUGCCCAGAUGGGAUUAGCUAGUGGGUGGGGUAAUGGCUCACCUAGGCGACGAUCCCUAGCUGGUCUGAGAGGAUGACCAGCCACACUGGGACUGAGACAUGGGCCAGACACCUACGGGAGGCAGCAGGGGGGAAGAUUGCACAAUGGGCGCAAGCCUGAGGCAGCGAUGACGCGUGUGUGAAGAAGGCCUUCGGGUUGUAAAGCACUGUCAGCGAGGAGGCGUUACUCGCAGAAGAAGCACCGGCUAACUCCGUGCCAGCAGCCGCGGUAAUUC